UUUUCCUGACCCAUAUCAAUGCAUCUAGCAUCGCCACCUACCUUCAAUUAGCCACACCGUCACCUACCUUCCCACCGCCCCUCACAUUUCUCCCCGUCGUUCCCCAUUCUUCCUUGGUCGCCAGCUCCCUCUCUCCACCUCGUCAGGCCACCCCUCCCCUUCGUCCCCACCGCCAGCAAGAGGUUCGCAACCCCUUCUCUUCCCCGCGUUUUCAUCGAAUCCGGUCGCCCAAGUGGCCGAGGAGGUCCCCCAGCUGGCCAGAUCGGCAUGCUCGCGAGCAUCCUAGCGUUAGGCUCCCUCGGAUGCGCGCGACUUCCCCGCCCCUGCUCUUCCCCGUCCUUCUUCGAAUCCGUUCGCCGAAGUGCCCAAGGAGGCGCUCGAGCUCAGCGCACUCACGGGCGACCCAGCGCGAGGCGGGCGCCGAGGCCCGCAACAAGCCAACAAGGAGCGGGCGUGGGUGAGCAACAAUAUCUGGGCACAGUUCGAUGCCUCCACUGCUGAGCCGUGGAGAUGUGCAGGAGCCAGUGAGAUACGGCCACCUCCCAGCCAGUUCACCAGCCUCCGCGAAGAUGUGUAGGAGCCACUAAGAUAUGACCAUUGCAUGUUCUCACAUUUUAUCUCUCUAAUUGAUUCUCACGGCUCAGCUCCAGCUUUCCUUAGCUAGUGUACUGAUUGAUUAUUUUGCAAUUUGCACAAGUCAAUAAUAUAUUAAUGUUAUGAAAUGAAUUCUCAUCGCUGUAUUAACCAUCAGGAUUAAUUCUGAUUUGAUCGUAGUCCUUAGACAUUACUUCGUGUCUGGAUUAUCCUAUCUUUGCAAUUAAAUUUUAAUUCAUUCUGUGCGUUUACCAUGUACUAAUGUACAAAUGUAAUUUCAAUUAGGUGUGCCUCUGUGUGAUGUGCUAUUCAAGAUACCUCUACAUAUUUCCCCCUUCUUAAUGAAAAGGCAGCGCUCCUGUCGGUUCCUCAAAAAAAUUGUGUUAUUCAGGAUACAAUGGCACUCGAUAAUGCUUGCUAAGAAGGUAUGCAAUAUGAACUGGACUGUUGCUUGCCAGAUGACUGGAAGAUGGGUACUUCAUCCUCUCUUUUUUUGUGAAGCAAGAUAAAUAAGGUUCAGGCAUUGUAAUGAAAACUACAGAUUUAGCUAAAUUCAACUGAUGGUGUAAUAUCUCUUCCUAUGGGCAGAAGUAAUGAUAUCUUCUUAGGAGUAAUAAGGCGUCGCUGCAUAAAUAUACUUGACUUUCAAAUGAGUGUGUGAAGAGGUUUAAUUAGCAUCGAUCCCUACUGUAAUUAUAGCUGGAUAUCUCGCUCCUGUACUAUUUGAAAGUCAAUUAGAUGUUCAGAAUAACAGAAAUUUGCUAGAUAAGCUAACAUUAGAAGCGGAAGUAAACAUUAAACAGUUCAGAUAGUGAAGGUGAAUAUCUGAUAUGUCAUCAUUGUGUGUUUCCUGUUGUAGAUAAAUUUGCUUGCAGGGCUCUUGAUGAUAUAUCCACUUUCAUCAAAUGCUUAAGGGUAUGGUCACUUGGAGAAGACAUAGCUAUGACUACAAAGAUCUGUUUUUUCAGAGUUCACCAGUUGCACUUAGUCUUGAAUGGAGAAGAUUGCACAUGCUAUUGUACAACUGGGCAAUGGUGUGGAGCUCCAUAAGCGACGGCGGCGACUCUAGCUGUCCUUCUGGCCUACACAUCCCAACGGAGAAGCUUUAGAAACUAAUCUGUUUACUCCUCGUUCAGGAUCAGUAAUGAACAUUAUACUUCUUCAUCAGGCACAAGACGAUUCGGUGCCUCUCGGAGCUAGUGAAGCCGGCGUUGUUCUACGUUUCUCUUUGGUGGAGUUGAGUCGUAGGAGAGCCGUACUAUUAAGAGGGGGUCCGCGUCGGAAAGGUAGGGUGGAAUCACACGUACACUUGCCCCUCCUUCCCUUGCACCUUGGAGCUACCCAUCGUUAUCAUGGUUGUGCGAAAAACUGUCGACUACUGCUGUACAUGCGGUAGUACCGCGGCAGGACACGGUAGUACCGCCCCUCGGGCGCGGUAGUACCGCUGUACCUUGGCCUAGUGCCGCUCCAGCGCGGUAGUAGGGGCGGAUGUAAUUUUUUACAUCCGUGCCCCUCACGGUAGUACCGCUCCGUUGGCGCGGUAGUACCGCCGCACUCUGGCCUAGUGCCGCUCCGGUGUGGUAGUAGGG